CAGUCUCCCGCUUAAUAUCAACGAAUCCCACUCUUCAUUUUUCAGUUGCAAAACAUUUAUUCUUCUUGUAGCACAUCUUCUUGUAGCACAUCUUCUUGUAGCACAUCUCCAAAUACGUGAUUGAUUCUACUCCACCAGAAACUAGUGUCUUCUCUCCCCACCCCAAAUGACCAGUGCCACCUCCUUCUCAAAAACUUUAAAAGUUUGGUUCUGGCUCUGCGCAUGCACACUAUUAAUUUUUAUACUGAAAAUAAAUGUCGCGCAUGCGCAUGCAAGCGAGAUGCGCAUGCAAGCGAGGUAUAUGUGUGCAUGCGGUGUGUGUACUGCUGCAGCUUUUUCCAUGGAGUGUUUGCUAAUCGUAGUAGUCUAGAGGCUGGACGCGCGUCAUCAACCACCUGAUAAAUGCAAGUCAGAAGCGACCUAGGGGUAGUCCCACCUUCCUCACCAAGAGAAUUCCAAUACGGUUCACAGCAAAAACUGCUAACAAGUACAGGAAUUACGGGAUGAUCGUUAAUGCGGAUGAUCGUUAAUGCGGGAUGAUCGUUGUGGGAUGAUCGUUGAUCGUUAAUGUCACACACACGGUACAGGUCACGGACUUUCACGGGGGAGUGGUUUAACGGGAACCGUAGACAACCGUUGCCGUGGGAAGGGGCUGGACAGGCAACUGUAUGAAGACCGUGCAGUCUGACCACAUUAGCUGACGGACAAUAAAGAGACACCGUAUAUCUAUAGAGUUUUGCUACUAUAUAAUUAUGUGCCCACUUCAUCAAUGGCUAUACUAAUAAAAAAAAACAGGGUGUAAAUCUAGUUGAUCAAGACGAGAGUGGAUUAGAGGAGUGGAUUAGAGCCUAGAGCCACAACCAAAGAGGACCAGAUCUAGAGCUGCUAGUGUCCUGUGUCCUCACUUGCGAUCAGCACAUAUCCAAAUCUAGUUAUUACCCUAUUCAGAUACAGACCUGAGUGACCAUAACUUGCCUGGAUAGCUAUAUUCAACUGGAGUUGUACUGUCGACUCGUUAUAAUAAUAAUAAACUUGCACUGUUUUAUAUUAUUCUUACUGGUAGGAAGAGGAUCUAGGAGGAGGAGCUCGUAAUUGCGCAUGCGUAGUAUGAAACCCACAUUUUAAGCGGGAUGAUUGGAGAAGCUGAGGACUUGGAUUUUAAGAGCCUUCACGUUGACGUUGAGCAUGAGAGAGCCGGUUCUCUAGCUUUAUGGAAGGAAAGCCUGUACGUAUCUGUUCAUGAACCAGUCAAAAAGUGUGUUAAGACAAAUGCUCAUGUGAUCAAUCAAUGACAAUCGCGUACUGGGCGUGGAAUCAAAAAUAUGAUGUGUCAUGACAGUGGACAUUACAGGCACCCAUUAACGUGUUGAAAACGACUCGUUGGAGAAUCAGGUAUGUAAUUCUCAUUAUGAUGAUUUAAUAAUUAUAGGCACAAGAAAAAACAUAAUAGAAUCUCAGGUGAGAUAUUAAUGUCAGUGUUUAAACAUAUAAUAAUGUGCUUGUGUAUUACUAGUACAGUAAUGUUGCAGACGUAAACCAAUGUCAGUUCUUAUGAUCGUUCUCAAGGCCUGGAAACUGCUACUAAAUCAUAAAGGUACUAUUUCUCACAAUGUAAUUAUUGUCUAGGUAUCGAUGUCGAUCUCAGAUAUGUCGAUUCUGUUAAAUUACCGACCGGCUACCAUGAUCAUACAAGUCAUUGAAAGUGAACAUAAUGAUGGUAAAUAAUACAAGUCAACACUAGGUAGCCUUUAAGUCACUCAUUUUGUGUCCAGCUAGCUGUUGUCUUGUGUUUCUGUUGUCUUGUGUUUCUUGUCUUGUUUCUUUCUGAUGCAUGCUGAUGCAUG